rnacentral:rRNA from 1 species
AGUGAACGCUGGCGGUAGGCCUAACACAUGCAAGUCGAACGGCAGCACAGUAAGAGCUUGCUCUUACGGGUGGCGAGUGGCGGACGGGUGAGGAAUACAUCGGAAUCUACUUUUUCGUGGGGGAUAACGUAGGGAAACUUACGCUAAUACCGCAUACGACCUACGGGUGAAAGCAGGGGAUCUUCGGACCUUGCGCGAGUGAAUGAGCCGAUGUCGGAUUAGCUAGUUGGCGGGGUAAAGGCCCACCAAGGCGACGAUCCGUAGCUGGUCUGAGAGGAUGAUCCGCCACACUGGAACUGAGACCCGGUCCAGACUCCUCCGGGAGGCAGCAGUGGGGAAUAUUGGACAAUGGGCGCAAGCCUGAUCCAGCCAUACCGCGUGGGUGAAGAAGGCCUUCGGGUUGUAAAGCCCUUUUGUUGGGAAAGAAAAGCAGCAGGUUAAUACCCCGCUGUUCUGACGGUACCCAAAGAAUAAGCACCGGCUAACUUCGUG